GAGUUUGAUCCUGGCUCAGAACGAACGCUGGCGGCAUGCCUAACACAUGCAAGUCGAACGGGAUCCAGGCUUCGGCCUGGUGAGAGUGGCGGACGGGUGAGUAACGCGUGGGAACCUGCCCAAUGGUCUGGGAUAACCGCGGGAAACUGCGGCUAAUACCGGAUAAGCCCGAGAGGGGAAAGAUUUAUCGCCGAUGGAGGGGCCCGCGUCCGAUUAGGUAGUUGGUGAGGUAACGGCUCACCAAGCCGACGAUCGGUAGCUGGUCUGAGAGGAUGAUCAGCCACACUGGGACUGAGAUACGGCCCAGACUCCUACGGGAGGCAGCAGUGGGGAAUAUUGGACAAUGGGGGCAACCCUGAUCCAGCAAUGCCGCGUGAGUGAUGAAGGCCUUAGGGUUGUAAAGCUCUUUUGGCGGGACGAUGAUGACGGUACCCGCAGAAUAAGCCCCGGCUAACUUCGUG
rnacentral:rRNA from 1 species